CCAGAACUGCACACAGUAUUCCAGAUGAGGUCUCACCAGUGCCUUGUGUAAUAGUACUAACACUUCCUUGUCUAUACUGGAAAUAUCUUACCUGAUGCAUCUGAGGAUUGCAUUAGCCUUUUUCAUGGCCACAUCACAUUGUCCGCUCAUUGUCAUCCUAUGAUCAACCAAUACACCCAGGUUUUUCUCUUCCUCUGUUGCUCCCAACUGAUUAGUCUCCAGUUUAUGGUAAAAAUUCUUGUAUUGUCCCCAAGUGCCUGACGUUGCCCUUUGCACUAUUUAAUUUCUUCCCAUUUCUUUCUCCAGUUUUCAAGGUCGUCCAGAUCUUUGUGUAUUAUAUUUGGGUCAUCCUCGGUAUUGGCAAUACCUCCCAGCUUUGUGUCACCUGCAAAUUUUAUUAGCACACUCCCAACUUGUGCAUCAAGGCUUCUACUGGACUGGGAUUCAGCUGCAAAGGUGGACAGGCAUGAGAAGAGACAUCAAACAGUUCAUUAUUGUCUCAGAAAAGGUUCAGUGCAUCUCCAGAAAAAAAGACCUGUGGAAUGUCAAGGCUGAAAAAAUGAUACUUUGUAAAAUUCAGAUUCAGUAUAUUCUCAGACCUUCCAGUUCUCUGCACCCGAGAAGACAAAGAAAACAGCUGUUGGAAUCUGGGGGAGGGAUCCUAACCUGAAGAGUUUGGUCAGUAACACUGCUGGAAGCAUGUGGCUCUGGAUAACCCUAUUUAAGUCCUUUCAGGCAUUCCACAUUCUGGAGGACAUCAAAAUCCUAGAGGUUCCUGAAUGGCAAAAGGACAUUCUGUUCCAAGGUACCGAUGACAAGCAAGCUGUGUCUGCCACAGAGGUUUUCAAGCUUAUGGUGACUUAGCAACACAUCUAUGAGUGGAGUUGGCUGGUGUUCUAUAGCGGAAGGCCCGAGAAAUAUACCCUUCCCUGAAAUGUGACUACUUAUCUGGAGUUCCUCCUAUGGGAAAAGUUUGCACCAUCAGCACCUGGGAUUGGGUCAAAAUUCAUGAGGGAAUCAACAGAAGGUUGGGUUAGGUUAGCGUCCGCAUGGAUUACUGCCUUCCUAUGAUUUAUGAUAGACCCUGCUCUGAGUACAUCUACCUCUGGACUACAUGCAAACACAUACAGUAAUACGGAUUCUCAAAGAACUGCACAGCUACCCCCGCCCCUUUCCCUGGCGUAUUUAUGGACUGUCUACAAACUCCCUGCCAUAUUUUGGAAAGGGAAUACACUACGUUUCCCCCUUUCCCAGUACAGUUUACAGAUGGCUCAUUAUGCUGUGGCAUGGCCAGUCUGUACAGUGUGGCGUACUAAAAGGGAAGGCUAUAUAAGGAUCUUACUUUUAACCCUCCUGCACAUCUUUGUAAGAACGUGCAAGUAUAUAAUAAAAAAAUGUUAAAUGCUUGUUAAUCUGUUGUUUGAUCUUUCCAGUCUUAUUCUGAAUUCCACAUGGUGUUGGGGGAGUGAGAGAUGCCAAGGCACUGGCAUGCAUUCUGCCAUAAGUAGAUAUAUGCCGAUACCUGCUGUGAUGUUAUUGACAUGAACUGUGACCGUAUAGAUCAUUGUUGCAACCAAGGUCCUAUAGUGGUACCAUAUCUUGUACAAAGGAGGUCAAAUAAGGUGUCUAUGAGAAGAUUAUGAUUUGCUGGUUAUGAUUAUGGUAUCUUUUUUUAUUUAAAAUUAUAAGUAUUGGCUCUAUACUGUCUGUAUUUCAAACUUGUGCUAUGCUUCUGGAUGACAACCCAGACAAUUUGGCAUCAGCACUGCAUAGCCUGCUUGAUGACACAUUAAGGACCAUCAGCUAUACAACUGAUCCAUUAAGAGAAGGUAGAUACACCUUAUGACUCAGCAAGACAUGCAGGGACAUACCUAUGGACAGAACUCUAAGGUUUUUCCACUCUGUGCGCUGGGUGGCUUGUGUUUGGAACAAAGGAAGCACAAGCCACAUGGCAAAAGGACCAUAAAAGGCAGCUGCAUCAUCUCCAUUUUGUCUUCAAUCCUGCUUCUUACCUCUGGAGGAACUUUGCUACAAACUGAAGCUCUGAACAAAGGACUGAAUGACCCAUCCAAGCUAUGGAUGUACUCCAGAUAUUUGAUUUGAACCUGCAGUUUAUUUCAUCACUGCUACAAGCCUGAAGCAAAAACUUUGCCAUUGCUGUAUGCAAUUGAUUCCAUUUAACCAAUUUUAGCUCUCAUCUAUAUUUCUUUCUUUUUAUUAAUAAACCUGUAGAUUUUAGAUUCUAAAGAAUUGGCAACAGCAUGAUUUGUAGGUAAGAUGUGACUUGCAUAUUGACCUGGGUCUGGGACUUGGUCCUUUAGGAUCAGAAUAACCUUUUUUUUUCUUUCAUUGGGGUAUUGGUUUUCAUAACCAUUUGGCCCCUAUAAGGAGCAGUGCUGAUGGUGAUACAAGGGAACUGGAGUAUCUGAGGGAACUGCUUGUAUCACUUCUGCUUAGCCAGUGGGGUAAAAUCAAAAUCCUCUGUUUGGCUGGUUUGGGCUGUAACUGUCCUGCUCUAAGCAAUCUGUCCUGAAUUGAUACUCUCAGUUGUGUCCCGUCAGAGGCUGCUUCGUUACACCUGCAGCUUGUAAUAAAAAUUGCAUUUGGUCACAGUCCAGAAAUCCCUCCCAUUCAUACAUUAAUAACAACUGACAUGGAGCCAGAAACUUACCAAGCUCCAGGACUACUUUGGCCUCUUCUGUUUCUGCUGUGAGUUCCACAGCAGACUACUCCUCCAAGGGGUCAUCAAACAGCUCCUCUGAGUAUGGACCCAAGACAUGCUGCAGCUAGCUGCUCAGGGACUGGUCGGAGCAGCCAGAGACACUUUGCUAGCCUGAUCUGGUGGCUGCUGGCUCCCCUCAGGAGCUCUAUGAAAUUGAGUGUCAGAAGGUUGUCAUCCCAGCUGACCAAACUAUUGUGAACUUCUGGGAUCUCAGUGCUCAGCAAGCACCCAGCACCUGAUGAAAGUCAUUGUAAAUGAGAUAAGAGGAUGGGGGGUUCCCAGAGAUGCAGUUCUCUGGCUUUCCAGUAGUUGCUUUUGAGCCACUUACUCUGCUCUCUGCACUGGUCACUGGUCCAUGUUGUCAUAAACAGAUAGUUAAGGGUUAAUGUCUCUUUUACCUGUUAACAAACAGUAAACCUGGAACACCUGACCAGAGGACCAAUCAGGAGACAAGAUACUUUCAAACCUCGGUGGAGGGAAGCCUUUGUUUGUGUUUUUUGGGUUUUGCUUUGUUCUCUCGGGGUCCUGAAUGGGACUAGACGUGCAACCAGGUUUCUUGCCAAUCUCCCUGCUACAGUCUCUUAUAUAUUCAGAAUAAUGAGUAUUAAGUAGAAAAGGCGGUUAUAGUCUUUUGAUUGUUUUCUGUAUUGCAAAUGUGUAUUUUGCUGGACGGAUUUCGACUGGUAUUUGUGCUGGGGAGAGACUUCUUUCUAGUGUUUAUAAGCUGAAAGACCCUGUAAUAUUCCAUCUUGAUUUUACAGAGAUUUCUUACUUUUUUCUUUCUUUUAUUAAAAGCUUUUCUU